UACAUGGGGUGCAAACGUUGCUCGGAAUCAUUGGGCGUAAAGCGCGCGUAGGCGGUUACUUAAGUUGGAUGUGAAAGCCCUCGGCUUAACUGAGGAAGUGCAUCCAAAACUGAGUAGCUAGUACGAAAGAGGGUCGCGGAAUUCCCGGUGUAGAGGUGAAAUUCGUAGAUAUCGGGAGGAACACCGGUGGCGAAGGCGGCGACCUGGGCAGUUGCUGACACUGAGGCGCGACAGCGUGGGGAGCAAACAGG
rnacentral:rRNA from 1 species